UGGAUCACCUCCUAACAGGGAUACAAUAACUAAUCGUGAUGUCUGAGUAAUUUAUUCUCAGGCCAUGAUUCUGUCAUCUCUAAGGUCGAUCGGUACCUCAAUUUGAGAAGCAGUGAAGGGUUGGGCAACCAACCUGGAGACUGGUGAAUCAAUUUCAGUUCCUAAACUUUGUCUAGGUCACCCCAAAGCGGGUUACACUCCUGGGCCAUUAGCUCAGGUGGUUAGAGCGCACCCCUGAUAAGGGUGAGGUCCCUGGUUCAAGUCCAGGAUGGCCCAUUCGCGUUUGGGGGUUUAGCUCAGUUGGUAGAGCGCCUGCUUUGCAAGCAGGAUGUCAGCGGUUCGAGUCCGCUAACCUCCAUCCAAUGUUUGCUCAGCCUUCAAGCCAAACCAGUUAUGCCAUUGCAUAGAAACUAAGUGUGCCGCAGAGCACUAUAGCAGGGAACUACAGCAUGGCAGCGUAGCAGGGGAGUGCAGCCGUGUAGGUGAUCUGGAAAAUUUGCUGUUGAUUUCAGCUUCUUUCCAUCGAUAGGAUGGAAGGACGCUGGAUUCAUAAUUGCCCCUUAAUUGGGACAGUGUGUAUUUCAGCAGAACCUUGACAACUGUAUAGGAAAGUCUGGAAAUAAAGCAUCUCAUGGAUGCUUGAUUUUUAGCCCGAUCGCUCGUUCAGCAAUGGACUAGUCUUGGGAGAAGAAUCAAGAAAAUUCUAUUGAGUUUUAAGAGCCGAGAGCUUUCAGUUUUCUUACCCGUCCGCCGAGGACAAGUGAGUUUGAUCCUGGCAUUCAAACCGCAUUGGUUUCCAUAAGUAAUUAUGGAGGCUGGUGGAGGUGAAUCCAACGAGAAYCGGCCUCAACAGCCGCGCGUAGCUCGAGAAAUCGAAGCUGCCAAGAACUGSAAGUAUAAMUUGGUCAAGCUACAA
rnacentral:tRNA from 1 species